rnacentral:rRNA from 1 species
UCGGGAAUAUUGGGCAAUGGAGGCAACUCUGACCCAGCAACGCCGCGUGAAGGAUGAAGGCCUUCGGGUCGUAAACUUCUGUCGAGAGGGAAGAACUGCGUAAGGUUAAUACCCUUGCGUUUGACGGUACCUCCAAAGGAAGCACCGGCUAACUCCGUGCCAGCAGCCGCGGUAAUACGGAGGGUGCAAGCGUUGUUCGGAUUUAUUGGGCGUAAAGCGAGUGUAGGCGGUUUGUCGAGUCGGGUGUGAAAUCCCAGGGCCCAACCCUGGAACUGCACCCGAUACUGGCAGGCUAGAGUCCCGGAGAGGAUGGCGGAAUUCCCGGUGUAGGGGUGAAAUCCGUAGAUAUCGGGAGGAACACCAGUGGCGAAGGCGGCCAUCUGGACGGUGACUGACGCUGAGACUCGAAAGCGUGGGUAGCAAACAGGAUUAGAUACCCCCGUAGUCC